GUUGACAGUGGGCAUAGCAGUAGGAUUUGAAAUAUUGAAGCAAAGGGAUAGGUUUAGAGCUCUAAUACCAUGUAAAGCCUUUAAGGUGAAUUGUAUUCUUUUGUAUGUAUUUUAAGUACAUGAAAAGAGCAAUAUAAAUACAAUAUACUGAUACGAAACCUCCCUAUUCAGUGGCUACAAAUCCUCUACAACUAGUAUUCUAAAACAAAAGAUUUACAAAGAAU
rnacentral:misc_RNA from 1 species